rnacentral:misc_RNA from 1 species
CAAACUCAAAGUUUUUAACUUUAAACCCAAUGUGAACCUCAACCUUUAUUCGCUUCGGUAGCAGGUGCCCGAACCGCUUCUCACGUAAGUCCGAACGGUUCCCGCGCCGUAAGCCUGCCGGCAGCAAACCUAUUAAACUCGCUUUUGAACAUUGUCUGCGAAAUAUCAUUUACGAAUGAAUAUCA